rnacentral:rRNA from 1 species
UGGGGAAUAUUGGGCAAUGGGCGCAAGCCUGACCCAGCAACGCCGCGUGAAGGAUGAAGGCUUUCGGGUUGUAAACUUCUUUUAUCAGGGACGAAAUAAAUGACGGUACCUGAUGAAUAAGCCACGGCUAACUACGUGCCAGCAGCCGCGGUAAUACGUAGGUGGCAAGCGUUAUCCGGAUUUACUGGGUGUAAAGGGCGUGUAGGCGGGACUGCAAGUCAGGUGUGAAAACCACGGGCUCAACCUGUGGCCUGCAUUUGAAACUGUAGUUCUUGAGUGCUGGAGAGGCAAUCGGAAUUCCGUGUGUAGCGGUGAAAUGCGUAGAUAUACGGAGGAACACCAGUGGCGAAGGCGGAUUGCUGGACAGUAACUGACGCUGAGGCGCGAAAGCGUGGGGAGCAAACA